rnacentral:rRNA from 1 species
UACGUAGGUGGCAAGCGUUGUUCGGAAUUAUUGGGCGUAAAGGGUGCGUAGGCGGCGCGGUAAGUCGGGUGUGAAAUCUCGGGGCUUAACUCCGAAACUGCAUUCGAUACUGCCGUGCUUGAGGACUGGAGAGGAGACUGGAAUUUACGGUGUAGCGGUGAAAUGCGUAGAUAUCGUAAGGAAGACCAGUGGCGAAGGCGGGUCUCUGGACAGUUCCUGACGCUGAGGCACGAAGGCCAGGGGAGCAAACGGG